rnacentral:sRNA from 1 species
CUCGGCUUUUCGUUGCCCCUUCCUCAGUACGCUCCGGAUGUUCCAGCGAUGACUUUCGCCCUGGCGGAAGCCUCGUCUGUGCAGACAAACGUCUGUGCGGAAUAAGAACGUCCCGUGAGGGCAACAUAUCAGUAAGACAGGAAAGAUCGAUGUCCGAUACCAAGACUGGCCAAGUAAAGUGGUUCAACGAAUCCAAGGGCUUUGGCUUCAUUGCUCAGGAAGGCGGCAGUGACGUUUUCGUUCACUACAGUGCAAUCAACUCCGGCGGUUUCCGUACUCUGGCAGAAGGCCAGCAGGUACAGUUCACCGUAACGCAGGGUCCUAAAGGCCCGCAGGCGGAAAACGUAACCCCCCUGUAAGCGGUUAUGUUAACUGCCGGAUGCCCCUCACGGGCAGACGGAACAAGAACGGCCAGCUUAAACACUGGCCGUUCUUG